UACGUAGGGACCGAGCGUUGUCCGGAUUCAUUGGGCGUAAAGAGCUCGUAGGCGGCUGCUCAAGUCGAAUGUGAAAACUCGAGGCUCAACCUCGAGCCUGCAUUCGAUACUGGGCGGCUAGAGUCUGGUAGGGGGAUCUGGAAUUCCUGGUGUAGCGGUGGAAUGCGCAGAUAUCUGGAGGAAUUCCGGUGGCGAAGGCGGCAUCCUGGACCGACAUUGACGCUGAGGAGCGAAAGCUAGGGGAGCAAACGGG
rnacentral:rRNA from 1 species